GGAAAGAAAGAAGGAAAGAUAGAUAGAUAUGAAUUUUAGGAAAAAGAGAUAUUAAUGGAUUAAUAUUACUUCUAUAUAUACAUACAUACAUACAUACACAUAUUUUUUUAAAAGAGAAUUAGAGUAGAGCUGGGGCAAUUGUGAAACACACCUUUAACCUCAGGCAGAUUUCUGCGUUCAAGGUCACCCUGGCUUACAAGUCAGCUAGGGCUAGAGAAACCAUAUCUCAGUAAAAACGAAAAAAAAUAAUAGAAAGACAGACAGACAGACAGAGAGAAAGAAAGAAAGAACGAAAGACAGACAGACAGAAAGAAGAAAGAAAGAAAGACAGACAGACAGACAGACAGAAAGAAAGAAAGAAAGAAAGAAAGAAAGAAAGAAAGAAAGAAAGAAAGAAAAAAAGAAAGAAAGAAAGGUAUUUUCACACAAAUAAAAUUAGUUCGG
rnacentral:lncRNA from 1 species